rnacentral:lncRNA from 1 species
CUCUUAUGAAUUCCUCUGCUGCAGAUUACAAGGAAAACAAAUGUGUGGUGGCAACUGAAAGUGUUGGCGAGGCGAAUACAAGAACAGAGAGUACCGAUUACGAUGGUUUUUAUGUGUAGCUUGGUGGGGAGUAAUACACAAGGAAUACAAUCUGAAUUCUAGUUGUUGUAAAGUUAAGUAACGAUCCAAACUAGAAGUUCUCUACCUAGUGCUGAUCAAAAGAUUCAAAGUGUAUAAAUAGAUCACACACACGCAAAGAAAUUUAAGAAUUGAUGCAAACAAGGAGUAUGAUUGGGAUGCAAGUGUUGCAAUCAGACCUAACCAAAGUUUUGCACCAAACAAAGAUAGCAAACUGGUUGCAGAACUUGAUAUGAAACUUUCAGCACUUUUGCACAUAAACCAACUAAUCUUUCAGACUUUCUCUCUGAACCUUUCUCCACUUUUUUUUCACUUCACUUUUUUUUUGCACUUUAUUUUCCUUUUUUUGACACACUUGUUUUUCAUAACUAAACACAAUGAUCAGAUAUAAUACUUGCAAACUUAAUAGAAACAAAGCACAACCAGAAACUAUAACUUGAUAGGAUCAAAGAUAACACAAAGGAUGAUAUAGGCUAUAGAGAAAUUUUUUUGGGGGAUUUUUAGAUAUAAAAGAGGCACAAAGAACACGCGAAGGAUAAAUGAUCAGCAACUAAAACAAAGACUCUUAUGGACUGCGACUUAACCAAACUCACUAAAAUAACAGAUUGAAACAAAGGUCUGAGCAAUAUAUUUUUCUGGCUUUUUGGUGGAUAGGACGAAGCAAAAAUAUAUAUGUAUCUAGGGAUAGAAUUACUACCGUGGUAACGAAAACUUUGAUACCAGAUGAUACGACACGUUGUCCCGAUCUUCACGACGUAGGAUGAACACCGAUAACUAGCUGAAGAACAGCCGGAUAACUUGCUGCAAGCAGCGAUAACUAGUGCAACCUGACAAAUAAAACUCGAAGCCAACCACCGUCUUUAACCGGCAACCUGAAUCGAGGAUUCACCCAACCACACUCUCAAAGAACCAACCAACACAGCGUACA